GAUGGAUGAAAUCCUAUCCGUUGGAACAAAAUCACAGCCCGGUGCGACCACGAACAGUGAAAAACAAAAUUACCAUUAGGUAAAGGUAAAACAAAUUUUUCUCAGAGCAUGUAACCUCCGGACACCAUUUGUCUCAACCAGCUCCUUCCUACAUUGCACGGGCCCCUUAUAAAAAGCCACGUAAUUUGAUAUUGAUGGUGACGAUCAUGAUACUAAGCUGCCUCAGAUCUGAUGGUCCUCAGCUCUUAGAAGCGGGCAUACAAACUGAAGUAAGGUUUGAGAGAGAGACAGAGAGAGAG
rnacentral:misc_RNA from 1 species